CAAUUCAGCCAGUUGUUUUACCUUCACAAUGUUGAGUUUGUGAAUGAGAACUGUUGAAUUUUCUAUUCACAGUGACAGUUAGCAUUGGACACGGUCCUUUGUUAUUUGUGACAAUAAAGAGGAUAUUACUUUAUGUUGAUUCAAAAUAUCUCGUUUAUUAUCCUUCUCAAAUUUCCAAUUAAUAACACCAACCCCACCCUCUCAACUGACGGGUUCAUUCUUUUUAAAUGCCACUUUUCUGUGUUAUCGUUGAAAUGAAUCAAAUAAUCACUUCACGUUGCCGUUAAUCUGGAAGAGUAGUAUAUUUUUAUGUACCUUUUCACUCCCUGAAUUUCUUACUUGAUGACUUCCUAUAUUUCUUUAAUCUAAAAUUCAAAUACAAGCAAUAGUAAUGAGAGUAUCCUCGUGGCUUAAUUUUCAGAGGUAGUCUUAAAUCACCGUGGUCAUGUAGGAAAAGGAAACGUGUAAUUUCACCUCAGCAAUGGAAAAGCUUAUUUACCAAAGAUGGUGGAAUUAAGUUCCUGAAAAGAAUUCGCAGUGGAGGUGUUGGUCCUACUAUUAGAGCUGAAGUUUGGCCUUUCCUACUCGGAGUAAAGGAGUAUGAGAAAUUCGAAGACAGUGCUGGCAACUGUCAAAGCACAGUAAUGGGAGCUUUAAGUUAAAUGAAACAGGUGAAAUCAGCUAUGAAGGGGAUGGUGGAAGUCUUAUUCAAGAUUAGGUUCACCUAGUUCUGAAGAUGCAACAAGUGCCAGAGAAUCUCUUUCAAGUGAGGAACACAGUCCAGAUGCUGAAUAUUCAGAUGAUCCAUCUAUUGCCCUGUUGUAAGGAGAUCUCCA